rnacentral:misc_RNA from 1 species
UCCGGUUUGUCACCGGCAGUCUCAUUAGAGUGCCCUUGCGUAGCAACUAAUGAUAAGGGUUGCGCUCGUUGCGGGACUUAACCCAACAUCUCACGACACGAGCUGACGACAGCCAUGCAGCACCUGUGUGGUAUCCAGCCGAACUGAAGAGAUCCAUCUCUGGAUCUCGCGAUACCCAUGUCAAGGGCCGGUAAGGUUCUUCGCGUUGCUUCGAAUUAAACCACAUGCCCCACCGCUUGUGCGGGCCCCCGUCAAUUUCUUUGAGUUUUAACCUUGCGGCCGUACUCCCCAGGCGGAUGACUUAACGCGUUAGCUGCGCCACCGAAACUCCAUGAGCCCCGACAGCUAGUCAUCAUCGUUUACGGCGCGGACUAC